AGAAUCAACGCUGGCGGCGUGCCUAACACAUGCAAGUCGAACGAGAAAGUGGAGCAAUCCAUGAGUAAAGUGGCGACCGGGUGAGUAACACGUGACUAACCUACCUUCGAGUGGGGGAUAACAUCGGGAAACCGAUGCUAAUACCGCAUAACAUCGCAAGAUCAAAGCAGUAAUGCGCUUGAAGAGGGGGUCGCGGCUGAUUAGCUAGUUGGCGGGUAACGGCCCACCAAGGCGAAGAUCGGUAGCCGGCCUGAGAGGGCGCACGGCCACACUGGAACUGAAACACGGUCCAGACUCCUACGGGAGGCAGCAGUGGGGAAUUUUGCGCAAUGGGGGAAACCCUGACGCAGCAACGCCGCGUGGAGGAUGAAGCCCCUUGGGGCGUAAACUCCUUUCGACCAAGACGAUAAUGACGGUACUGGUGGAAGAAGCACCGGCUAACUCUGUGCCAGCAGCCGC
rnacentral:rRNA from 1 species